rnacentral:rRNA from 1 species
UACGAAGGGGGCUAGCGUUGUUCGGAAUUACUGGGCGUAAAGCGCGCGUAGGCGGACGCUUAAGUCAGGGGUGAAAUCCCGGGGCUCAACCCCGGAACGGCCUUUGAUACUGGGCGUCUGGAGUCCGGAAGAGGUUGGUGGAAUUCCGAGUGUAGAGGUGAAAUUCGUAGAUAUUCGGAGGAACACCAGAGGCGAAGGCGGCCAACUGGUCCGGUACUGACGCUGAGGCGCGAAAGCGUGGGGAGCAAACAGGAUUAGAAACCCCCGUAGUCC